rnacentral:tRNA from 1 species
GCCUGGGUGGCUCAGUCGGUUAAGCAUCUGACUUCGGCUCAGGUCAUGACCUCACAGUUUGUGGGUUCAAGCCCCACGUCAGGCU